rnacentral:rRNA from 1 species
AAAUUGAAGAGUUUGAUCAUGGCUCAGAUUGAACGCUGGCGGCAGGCCUAACACAUGCAAGUCGAACGGUAACAGGAAGCAGCUUGCUGCUUCGCUGACGAGUGGCGGACGGGUGAGUAAUGUCUGGGAAGCUGCCUGAUGGAGGGGGAUAACUACUGGAAACGGUGGCUAAUACCGCAUAACGUCGCAAGACCAAAGAGGGGGACCUUCGGGCCUCUUGCCAUCAGAUGUGCCCAGAUGGGAUUAGCUAGUUGGUGAGGUAACGGCUCACCAAGGCGACGAUCCCUAGCUGGUCUGAGAGGAUGACCAGCCACACUGGAACUGAGACACGGUCCAGACUCCUACGGGAGGCAGCAGUGGGGAAUAUUGCACAAUGGGCGCAAGCCUGAUGCAGCCAUGCCGCGUGUAUGAAGAAGGCCUUAGGGUUGUAAAGUACUUUCAGCGGGGAGGAAGGUGUUGUGGUUAAUAACCGCAGCAAUUGACGUUACCCGCAGAAGAAGCACCGGCUAACUCCGUGCCAGCAGCCGCGGUAAUACGGAGGGUGCAAGCGUUAAUCGGAAUUACUGGGCGUAAAGCGCACGCAGGCGGUCUGUCAAGUCGGAUGUGAAAUCCCCGGGCUCAACUUGGGAACUGCAUUCGAAACUGGCAGGCUUGAGUCUUGUAGAGGGGGGUAGAAUUCCAGGUGUAGCGGUGAAAUGCGUAGAGAUCUGGAGGAAUACCGGUGGCGAAGGCGGCCCCCUGGACAAAGACUGACGCUCAGGUGCGAAAGCGUGGGGAGCAAACAGGAUUAGAUACCCUGGUAGUCCACGCCGUAAACGAUGUCUACUUGGAGGUUGUGCCCUUGAGGCGUGGCUUCCGGAGCUAACGCGUUAAGUAGACCGCCUGGGGAGUACGGCCGCAAGGUUAAAACUCAAAUGAAUUGACGGGGGCCCGCACAAGCGGUGGAGCAUGUGGUUUAAUUCGAUGCAACGCGAAGAACCUUACCUGGUCUUGACAUCCACAGAAGAAUCCAGAGAUGGAUUUGUGCCUUCGGGAACUGUGAGACAGGUGCUGCAUGGCUGUCGUCAGCUCGUGUUGUGAAAUGUUGGGUUAAGUCCCGCAACGAGCGCAACCCUUAUCCUUUGUUGCCAGCGGUC